rnacentral:sRNA from 1 species
AUAUGCCACGCGUGCACUGCGGUUGCGAGCGUGCCGUCCGCACACAGUCGACUCCCGCUCGCGACGCUGUGUCAGCC